rnacentral:lncRNA from 1 species
UGAUGUAUGAUGUUUCCCAUUCAUGCCACAGAUGAGGAAUCAUUGUCCGCAUGCAUUACAAUCAGGGGAUCGUUCCCCAUGUAAAGAUCCGACGAAUACACCUACUCAGGAGACUGCAAAUCAAGCAGAUUCUUCUUCGUCACUGCAUGUGCCACGAACCCCUUUGAGCAACAUAACCAACUCAGUUGUAAAUCAAGAUGUUGAAAAACCAAAAAGUGGUAAAAAUUGGUAUGCAUGAAUGUCCGAUGAGAAGAGAGCGGAGUACAACUAGAAGUGGCGUAUGGCCCGAGCACACAAGAAGGCUGCAUCUGUCAUUAGUAUUAACCCUAAGGAGGUCUCCCAAACACAUGCUUCUUCAUCACCGGAUGUGCCACGAACCCCUUUGAGCGACAUAGCCAACUCAAACACAACCGGUUUGUUCUUUAUCUUUACAUGCUGCAAUUUUAAUAUUCUGACUACUAUUUCAAUAUUCUAUGCUACACUACUAUAUUGAGAGACUAACCUAUCAUACGUAUCAUAGAUGCAGCUGCAACCUCAGCUUAUACCGACCAUCCAUCUGAAGAUGUCGCUCUUGGGCGCAAAAAACGAAGCUCUGAAACGUGGUAUUCACGUCUAUCCGAUGAGGAGAGAGCAGAGCACUGCAAGAAGCUCCGGAUCGCUCGACUAGAAAAGAAAGCUGCUACCACUAGCGUCCAAGUAUCACCUGGUAAUUUCAACAAAUAUUUUCUAGCACCAUAUUUCUGUACGUAUUGCUCAUCUUCAACCAUAUAAAAGCCAUAUGAUGCACUGUCUUUCUGUAGGUAUUGCUUAUCUUCAAACAGCACAAUCUGUUGUCAGCCAUAUGCUAAACUCACCAUGCAGUGCGUCAUCUAUGCAGACAGAUGGUCAUAUUGAUUGGCUGCACACAAAUCCCACUUACGAACGACAAAAGAUGGAUGUUCAUGGGGUAUUUGACAUGUCACAAGCUCAAGGGGCGCACAUACAAGAAAGCUUUCUGCCUAACUCACUUAGCUCUGUUCAAAUGAAAGGUAUGUUGAGGAUUCAGUACUGAUUGACCCAUUUUGAUUUUAUAUACACAGUUUUCUGACCACAUGUAUCCCAUUCAGAGGCAUCUUCUGAGAAGAAACGGCGUCGCAUGAGAGAACAAUAUGAUCAAAUGACGCCGGAAGAAAGAGAAGUUGUCUUGCAGAGGAAACGUGUGCAUAAGAUGGGAAAACGCCAUGCAUCAUCUGAACAGUCCUACAUUGCUGAGCCAACAGGUGGAUCUGCAGUCCCCUCACCAAUUACACAUGCCAUUGAUCUUACAUGUAAUUUAGUUAGUCCCACUAAAGGACCAUUGAUCUUCAUUUUUUGUCAAAAGUAACUAUGUUUGCGUGGUAAUUGACUGCACCUGCCAUGUGAUAUUCAACUUUGUUUCUACCGUGUCGGUGGUGUGCAACCAGGUUGCCACGGCAAUGGUGAAGAGUCCUAUGAUGCUGGAAUAUUAGAGCCUAUGGAGCCCCCCGCCGAAGUGGACGGUAUAUUUCCUUUCAUUAUUCCUGUCCCAUUACUUAAUUCCUUUAUACGGCACUGUGUAGUUUCCCGUGUGUUGUAAUUGUGGUAUAUACUCCCUCCAUUCCUAAAUACAAGUAUUUGUUAGAGAUUCCAGUGUUUAAAAACUACUUAUCAAUGACAAAUAUCCUCGCGUUACAGUACUAAAUUUUUCAAUAGGAGAAAUGAUGAUGCUCACAUCCAAGCAGGAAGCUGAUUUAAUGUUAUUGCUUUCCUAGAAUUCUUGCACGACACACAGGAUGGGCAACCGGUGUAUGAUGAUGAUGAUGAAUGCAGGAUAUUUACUGGACAAGGUGACCUAUACCAUGAAUGCAUAUACCCUUAUAUCUCGCAGACUGAUGUAUUUUUGACUCCAAUAUUAUUGUAGGUGAUGAGUUUGAAUCAUACAGAAUGACACCUAAUGUUUCACAUCAUGCUUUUGCGGCUGAUGAUCCUUAUGACUAUGUCUACAAGAAUCUACCAACUAAGCAUCAUGUUUUCAAGCCAGUAAAAGACUGUGUCCAUUGUGGAGCAAUGAGGUUCCAGUAUGAAGGUCCAGCCUUCUGUUGCAAAAAAGGUAAAGUUAAUGUAUGUAUCCCAGAGGUUCCAUUCUACCUGAAUGAUGCACUCGAAUUAGCACAACCGGGUUGGAAGUCUGAUACACUUGCCUGGCCACGUAAAUCACCACUUGAUGUUUCGAUGAGCCUAGACCGGUCAGUUACUCUGAAAAUCACUAUGCAUGUUUUAGAUUUAUUGUCAUAACCUCUGAAGAUAAUGAUAGUGUAUUCAUCUACAGGAAUGAAUCUGGUUAUUUUGUUUUCAAUUAUAUGCUCUGGCAUGGUAACAAAUUUGUUCGUCCAAUUUGCACGGCGAGUAUUCUGUGUCACACGUUCAUAAAAAGUUUGAAGCAAAAUUUCAUCCUAACAUCAUGCAUUGCUCAUGUAGGAUGGUUAUGAGUUGAGAAAGAAUAUUUUGAUACACUUGCUCGAGUAUGAUGCGAAUGAAGCUGAAGACAAUAUCCCAUAUGAUGUACGAGAAAUUCUCAAGUGCCUCAAGUACGAAGUUAAGAGAUGAUAAACUGGACUUGAUAUCUACGCAUUGGUUCACACUGUAGUUUUUUUUAUCAAAAUUUAUUUUUCAUCUCCAUGGAUUUGUUUACUCUAUUUGCCAUAUGUUGUGGCUAUUUAUUUAUAGACAUGAAUUUUGCGAUGCAAUAUGUUUUGGAGACUGAAAAAAUUAAGCUCCGUCACAGCACAUAUGUAGUCAUUAUCUUCUUUUCAAUUUUAUUAUGCUCUUUGGGUUGGUAACAAAUACGUGCAAAGGCAUGUAAAAUAUAUAGUCUUCCGUCUGUCAUAAAACUCUCGGUCGGUAUCCACCGACCCAUUGUUGUCAAACCCUAUCUAUAUGGAUUUGCAUGCUACUUAAUAAUGCAUGUGCAAUUCACGUUGGGGUCUGGACAAGGGAAUGGCCACAAAAAUUGACGUGUUUGUCUUCUAUCUCUAAAUAAAAAAGGCUACAUAUGCAAAGGCGGACUUGUUUGUCUUUUCUUGAUUUGUAAUAUUUUCCGGUGCAACCAAACUAUCUUUAUAUGCAUGUUAUUCUCAUAUAUACUUGGAUAUUAGUCGAGACGUGCAUUUGCACGUGCACGCUUACUAGU